UGUUACCUUGGAGAUCUCCAUCCGUGCUGGUGAUUCAUACCGCACUCCCCCCUCCGUGACUUCCGGAAAUGAAGAAGAACCGACAGUGGAUGGCAGAAAAAAAUAUUUUUACCUUUUGUCUACAUUAUCCAUAAAGAAAAAGCAAGUCAGUGGAAUGCUGCCAAUGUAUUUAUUUCUAGAAGACACUGUCCAGGAUCACUGAGGCAAAGAUUACUUUCAAAAUCUGAUACCUGAAUUUCACAUAUGGUGACAUUCACUGUACAGGAACUUUGAGGCAAGGAAUGAGAACACGGAAACUCUGAAACAAACUGUCAAUUUCUUUGCAACUUUCUACAUGCUGUGUUUCUGAGACGCCAUGAUGGUGUGGUGAAGACAUUUGAUGCCACAGCAGUUCUCAUAGUGGUGGAUUUAAAGAUUUCAAAACAUCAGACAUUCCAUAGUCACUGGCACAAGCAGACGAUUGAAUAUUAUAUGGUCUUUGCAGAAGACACUCCCCAGAAUGACUGAGGCAAAGAUACCGUUCAAAAUCUGAUACCAGAAUUUCACAUGAGAUGACAAUUCCUGUUCAGGAACUUGAGCCAAGGAAUCAGAGAACAGAACUCUGAAACAGACAAUCAUUUUCUUUGCAACUUUCCACUUUUUCUCUCUCCUGGCAGUUAUAGACCCAUUCUUCCUUUUAUUUCACACCAUUGAGUCGGACUUUGGUUAUACCUAGAACUGGACAAUUCCUGGAAUAUAACCAUCAAUUCUGAAUCUGCAGAUGAAUUUAUUUCUUUCCUCGCAACUUAUUGCUGGUGAAUCUGCAUUCAUAUAAAGAAUGGAAUUAGAUCCAAUUAGAAGAGAGCACAGGAAUGUGAGUCUGCUGUAGCCUUGGAGAUCUCCAUAUGUGCUGGUAUGUAAUACCAAGGUGGAGAUCUUCCUGAGAUGAUGUAUUCAUAUCCCCCAAGUGCACACAACUCCUCUGAACAGACAACACUACAAAGCAUGACUGAGGCAGAGAUUUCCCUUAAAUACCUGAUACCUGAGUUCGACAUAUGGUGACAGUCCCUGUACCAGAACUAUGAGCCACCGAUUCAGAGCAUGGAUACUAUGAAAUAAAUAAUCAGUUUCUUUGCAGAUUUCCAA